rnacentral:sRNA from 1 species
GCUGGGCACAGUGGUGCAUGCCUAUAAUCCCAAUGGCUUGGGAGGCUGAGGCAGGAGGAUUGCAAGUUGGGGGACAGACUUAGCAGCUUAGCAAGGCCCUAAGAAACUUGGUGAGACCCUGUUUCAA